UAGUCCACGCCGUAAACGAUGGAUACUAGCUGUCCGAGCUGAGUCUUGGCGCCAAGCGAAAGUGAUAAGUAUCCCACCUGGGGAGUACGUUCGCAAGAAUGAAACUCAAAGGAAUUGACGGGGGCCCGCACAAGCGGUGGAGCAUGUGGUUUAAUUCGAUGAUACGCGAGGAACCUUACCAGGGCUUAAAUGUAGAUUGACAGGACUAGAGAUAGUUUUUCCUUCGGGCAAUUUACAAGGUGCUGCAUGGUUGUCGUCAGCUCGUGCCGUGAGGUGUCAGGUUAAGUCCUAUAACGAGCGCAACCCCUGUCGUUAGUUGCCAGCAUGUAAAGAUGGGGACUCUAACGAGACUGCCGGUGCAAACCGUGAGGAAGGUGGGGAUGACGUCAAAUCAUCACGGCCCUUACGUCCUGGGCCACACACGUGCUACAAUGGCCGGUACAGAGAGCAGCCAUGUUGCAAGACAGAGCGAUCUAUAAGACGUCACAGUCGGUAGUCGGGUCGU
rnacentral:rRNA from 1 species